ACGGCCAUAAAAAGACUUCUGAAUUUGGUUCAACGAAAGGAAAAAAAAUCGGAAACUGUUUCAGGAGAUCGCAGGAGAGCUGGCAGUGGCUACUGGGGAGCCAGCAAGGCAAAUUCGAUAUCCAGAGGGCUGUUGCCAGGUGGUCCAUUAAUUGAACCUGAUGUGCUGUUCCUUGUGCCACGAAGAAGCCGCCGGUCGAAAAGAUCUGAGGAACUUAAACCCAAUCCAAGCAACACUGGUCACAUUUUAAGUAUCAGUAGUGUGUGAAGUGCCUGUCCAUCUCAAAGGACAUCGAGACACUGGCCUACACUUGCACAUGGCAGGCCAGUUAUGAGAAGAGAGCAAGAGUAACUGGAGAAAACCCCCAUGGACACAACAAGAACAUAAAAACUUCACACAGGUGGUAAACCAGUCCCCAGAUGUAUGAGAUGGGUUGUGUGGAUCCCAAGUCAAUUGGCGGGUACGGUCUGGCCCUGAACGACUGACUUUUAUGUACCAGCAGCUUCCCCCCCUCAAUUCUCACUUCAAAAUUGUCACCUUUAGGCUUGGAUUAAAAGGAAAUGUGAAAUCUAUGAUCAGAAUCAGCUCUCAGCAGCGGCCAGCAGAGGGGCCGUGCAG